rnacentral:rRNA from 1 species
GAUGAACGCUGGCGGCGUGCCUAAUACAUGCAAGUCGAGCGAACGGACGAGAAGCUUGCUUCUCUGAUGUUAGCGGCGGACGGGUGAGUAACACGUGGAUAACCUACCUAUAAGACUGGGAUAACUUCGGGAAACCGGAGCUAAUACCGGAUAAUAUAUUGAACCGCAUGGUUCAAUAGUGAAAGACGGUCUUGCUGUCACUUAUAGAUGGAUCCGCGCUGCAUUAGCUAGCUGGUAAGGUAACGGCUUACCAAGGCAACGAUGCGUAGCCGACCUGAGAGGGUGAUCGGCCACACUGGAACUGAGACACGGUCCAGACUCCUACGGGAGGCAGCAGUAGGGAAUCUUCCGCAAUGGGCGAAAGCCUGACGGAGCAACGCCGCGUGAGUGAUGAAGGUCUUCGGAUCGUAAAACUCUGUUAUUAGGGAAGAACAAAUGUGUAAGUAACUGUGCACGUCUUGACGGUACCUAAUCAGAAAGCCACGGCUAACUACGUG